rnacentral:rRNA from 1 species
UACCAGCACCCCGAGUGGUCGGGACGUUUUAUUGGGCCUAAAGCAUCCGUAGCCGGUUCUACAAGUCUUCCGUUAAAUCCAACUGCUUAACAGGUGGGCUGCGGAAGAUACUAUAGAGCUAGGAGGCGGGAGAGGCAAGCGGUACUCGAUGGGUAGGGGUAAAAUCCGUUGAUCCAUUGAAGACCACCAGUGGCGAAGGCGGCUCACUGGACCGGAACUGACGCUGAGGCGCGAAAGCGUGGGGAGCAAACGGG